rnacentral:lncRNA from 1 species
GGGCAAAAUUAAUUACUAAAAAUUAUUUGAAAAAAUAAUUGGUUGAGAACCUACCCAUGAUGCAUAUGGGUUGGUCAAGCUAUACUGGAGCUUGUAUGCAGUCUGUGUAGAUUCUAAUACCCACUAAGAAAUUAAGGUAAUUCUUUGAAUUAGAGUUAGAGGCUACCAAUUCGUAUAAAAUAGUGAGAGAACCUUUAGACUAAAGUCCAUGCCUUUAAGCUUGUUUAAUUCAUAUACUAAUUAGAUCUG